GAUGAACGCUGGCGGCGUGCCUAACACAUGCAAGUCGAGCGAUUCUCUUCGGAGAAGAGCGGCGGACGGGUGAGUAACGCGUGGGUAACCUGCCCUGUACACACGGAUAACAUACCGAAAGGUAUGCUAAUACGAGAUAAUAUGCUUUUAUCGCAUGGUAGAAGUAUCAAAGCUCCGGCGGCACAGGAUGGAACCGCGUCUGAUUAGCUAGUUGGUAAGGUAACGGCUUACCAAGGCGACGAUCAGUAGCCGACCUGAGAGGGUGAUCGGCCACAUUGGAACUGAGACACGGUCCAAACUCCUACGGGAGGCAGCAGUGGGGAAUAUUGCACAAUGGGCGAAAGCCUGAUGCAGCAACGCCGCGUGAGCGAUGAAGGCCUUCGGGUCGUAAAGCUCUGUCCUCAAGGAAGAUAAUGACGGUACUUGAGGAGGAAGCCCCGGCUAACUACGUGCCAGCCGCCGCAGUAA
rnacentral:rRNA from 1 species